UACGAAGGGGGCUAGCGUUGUUCGGAAUUACUGGGCGUAAAGGGUGCGUAGGCGGCCUUGUAAGUUAAGUGUGAAAGCCCCGGUUUCAAGCUGGGAAUAGCAUUUAAUACUGCAGGGCUAGAGGUUAAGAGAGGAUAGUGGAAUUCUGAGUGUAGAGGUAAAAUUCGUAGAUAUUCAGAGGAACACCAGAGGCGAAAGCGUCUAUCUGGAUUACACCUAACGCUGAGGCACGAAAGUAUGGGGAGCAAACAGG
rnacentral:rRNA from 1 species